rnacentral:sRNA from 1 species
ACCGUAGGCAACGCGCUGCGAGGAGCGCUCGACACCGCGUUCGUCGAGGAUCUGGAUC